UACGUAGGGUGCGAGCGUUAAUCGGAAUUACUGGGCGUAAAGCGUGCGCAGGCGGUUCGUUGUGUCGGCGGUGAAAGCCCCGGGCUCAACCUGGGAAUGGCCGUUGAAACUGGCGAACUGGAGUGUGGCAGAGGGGGGUGGAAUUCCGCGUGUAGCAGUGAAAUGCGUAGAGAUGCGGAGGAACACCGAUGGCGAAGGCAGCCCCCCUGGGCUGACACUGACGCUCAGGCACGAAAGCGUGGGGAGCAAACAGG
rnacentral:rRNA from 1 species